GACGGAGGGGGCAAGCGUUGUUCGGAAUCAUUGGGCGUAAAGGGCGCGUAGGCGGAUCCGUGUGUCUGGCGUGAAAUCUCCACCACUUAACGGGGAGAGGUCGCUGGAAACUGCGGAUCUGGAGUUUGUCAGAGGACCAUGGAAUUCCAGGUGUAGCGGUGGAAUGCGUAGAUAUCUGGAAGAACACCGGUGGCGAAGGCGGUGGUCUGGGGCAAAACUGACGCUGAGGCGCGAAAGCCAGGGGAGCAAACGGG
rnacentral:rRNA from 1 species